GAUGAACGCUGGCGGCGUGCCUAAUACAUGCAAGUCGAGCGAACGGACGAGAAGCUUGCUUCUCUGAUGUUAGCGGCGGACGGGUGAGUAACACGUGGAUAACCUACCUAUAAGACUGGGAUAACUUCGGGAAACCGGAGCUAAUACCGGAUGAUAUUUUGAACCGCAUGGUUCAAAAGUGAAAGACGGUCUUGCUGUCACUUAUAGAUGGAUCCGCGCUGCAUUAGCUAGUUGGUAAGGUAACGGCUUACCAAGGCAACGAUGCAUAGCCGACCUGAGAGGGUGAUCGGCCACACUGGAACUGAGGCACGGUCCAGACUCCUAAGGGAGGCAGCAGUAGGGAAUCUUCCGCAAUGGGCGAAAGCCUGACGGAGCAACGCCGCGUGAGUGAUGAAGGUCUUCGGAUCGUAAAACUCUGUUAUUAGGGAAGAACAUAUGUGUAAGUAACUGUGCACAUCUUGACGGUACCUAAUCAGAAAGCCACGGCUAACUACGUG
rnacentral:rRNA from 1 species